AGUUUGAUCAUGGCUCAGAACGAACGCUGGCGGCAUGCCUAACACAUGCAAGUCGAACGAGACCUUCGGGUCUAGUGGCGCACGGGUGCGUAACGCGUGGGAAUCUGCCCUUUGCUUCGGAAUAACAGUUAGAAAUGACUGCUAAUACCGGAUGAUGUCUUCGGACCAAAGAUUUAUCGGCAAAGGAUGAGCCCGCGUAGGAUUAGGUAGUUGGUGGGGUAAAGGCCUACCAAGCCGACGAUCCUUAGCUGGUCUGAGAGGAUGAUCAGCCACACUGGGACUGAGACACGGCCCAGACUCCUACGUGAGGCAGCAGUGGGGAAUAUUGGACAAUGGGCGCAAGCCUGAUCCAGCAAUGCCGCGUGAGUGAUGAAGGCCUUCGGGUCGUAAAGCUCUUUACCAGGGAUGAUAAUGACAGUACCUGGAGAAUAAGCUCCGGCUAACUCCGUG
rnacentral:rRNA from 1 species